rnacentral:sRNA from 1 species
GCCAGGUGCGGUGGCACAUGCCUGUAAUCCCAGCAGCUUGGGAGGCUGAGGCAGGAGGAUCUUGAGUUCAAAGCCAGCCUCAGCAACUUCACAAGGUCCUUAGCAACUCAGCAAGACUCUGUCUCUA